GCGCCUGGCAUAGCAGCAUAUGCACUAAAAUUGGAACAGUAGACAUUAGCAUGGCCCCUGAGCGUGGGUGACAGGCCAAUGUGUGAAACACUCCAUAUUUUU
ensembl:snRNA U6 U6 spliceosomal RNA